CCAUAAUGCCGUGUAACGGUGAGUGACAGUUGUUAUGGACCAAUCCAAAACGGUUCAGCCCCUGCCCAUAUAAGGUAGCUGCGGCCAUUAUUCUCUCUCUUGGGUUGCUGUCACUGAACAAGCCAUAGCAUUACCAACCAGACCCUCUACUCCAGGCUUUUAGUAUUCCAUAGUACACUUGUCUACAUGUGCAGUUGUCUUCUGCAUUCUACAUCAUUAUUUUCUGCAUACAAAAUGAGUGUCGUCUUAGUGUCGUUAUUCCCAGAUUGCAGUGAGGCGCAAGACAUCACAUCACUAGUCAGAUGAUGAAAGGAGGCUGUCUGCUUCAAUGGGUUACUGAACAAUGAUGGUGGAUCCCCAUUUGCGGCUAACCUGUUGUGGACAGGCUUUCUGGUUCCUAGGUCCCCGUUGGGAUGAAGUCUAAAUCCCUGUUGGGAUGCAGUUGGCAUUACUGUUGUCCAGGUUUUCCAGUUUCCAGAGUCGGAGUGUUGCGGGCCGGCUGGCCGAAGAUCCAUGUUGCAGUGCCAAGUCUGGAUGGCGUUCGCAGUUCCCGUUCGGCUGUGAUUUCGCAUAAAGAAAGAUCAAGGGUUAUACUCGGACAGUCCCUUAUAUAUGAGCCACCUGGCUAGGAGGGGCUAUCGGGAUUGCAAGGACUGCUGGGAGUUGUAGUCUUUUAAGUCUUUAAAAAGUUUUUUCUGUUGGAAUUACAUUGAAAUGAAGAUAGUAAUUCUGCU